UGGGGGAUAUUGCGCAAUGGGGGCAACCCUGACGCAGCAACGCCGCGUGAAGGAUGAAGGUUUUCGGAUUGUAAACUUCUUUUAUUAAGGACGAAAAAUGACGGUACUUAAUGAAUAAGCUCCGGCUAACUACGUGCCAGCAGCCGCGGUAAUACGUAGGGAGCAAGCGUUGUCCGGAUUUACUGGGUGUAAAGGGUGCGUAGGCGGCUUUGCAAGUCAGAUGUGAAAUCUAUGGGCUCAACCCAUAAACUGCAUUUGAAACUGUAGAGCUUGAGUGAAGUAGAGGCAGGCGGAAUUCCCCGUGUAGCGGUGAAAUGCGUAGAGAUGGGGAGGAACACCAGUGGCGAAGGCGGCCUGCUGGGCUUUAACUGACGCUGAGGCACGAAAGCGUGGGUAGCAAACAGGAUUAGAUACCCUGGUAGUCCACGCUGUAAACGAUGAUUACUAGGUGUGGGGGGUCUGACCCCUUCCGUGCCGGAGUUAACACAAUAAGUAAUCCACCUGGGGAGUACGGCCGCAAGGUUGAAACUCAAAGGAAUUGACGGGGGCCCGCACAAGCAGUGGAGUAUGUGGUUUAAUUCGAAGCAACGCGAAGAACCUUACCAGGUCUUGACAUCCAACUAACGAAGUAGAGAUACAUUAGGUGCCCUUCGGGGAAAGUUGAGACAGGUGGUGCAUGGUUGUCGUCAGCUCGUGUCGUGAGAUGUUGGGUUAAGUCCCGCAACGAGCGCAACCCUUGCUAUUAGUUGCUACGCAAGAGCACUCUAAUAGGACUGCCGUUGACAAAACGGAGGAAGGUGGGGAUGACGUCAAAUCAUCAUGCCCCUUAUGACCUGGGCUACACACGUACUACAAUGGCAAUGGAACAGAGGGAAGCGACUCAGCGAUGAGAAGCAGAUCCCGAAAAAUUGUCUCAGUUCGGAUUGCAGGCUGCAACCCGCCUGCAUGAAGUCGGAAUUGCUAGUAAUCGCGGAUCAGCAUGCCGCGGUGAAUACGUUCCC
rnacentral:rRNA from 1 species